rnacentral:rRNA from 1 species
GACGAACGCUGGCGGCGUGCUUAACACAUGCAAGUCGAACGAUGAAGCCGGAGCUUGCUCCGGUGGAUUAGUGGCGAACGGGUGAGUAACACGUGAGCAAUCUGCCCUUGACUCUGGGAUAACUGCGGGAAACUGUAGCUAAUACCGGAUACGACACCUUGGGGCAUCCCAGGGUGUGGAAAGAAUUUCGGUCAAGGAUGAGCUCGCGGCCUAUCAGCUAGUUGGUGAGGUAAUGGCUCACCAAGGCGACGACGGGUAGCCGGCCUGAGAGGGGGACCGGCCACACUGGAACUGAGAGACGGUCCAGACUACUACGGGAGGCAGCAGUGGGGAAUAUUGCACUAGGGGCGAAAGCCUGAUGCAGCAACGCCGCGUGAGGGAUGAAGGCAUUCGGGUUGUAAACCUCUUUUAGCAGGGAAGAAGCGAAAGUGACGGUACCUGCAGAAAAAGCACCGGCUAACUACGUGCCAGCAGCCGCGGUAA